GUGGGGAAUAUUGGGCAAUGGGCGCAAGCCUGACCCAGCCACGCCGCGUGAGUGAUGAAGGCCUUCGGGUCGUAAAGCUCUGUGGGGAGGGACGAAAAAACGUGAGCUAAUAUCUCACGGACUGACGGUACCUCCUUAGCAAGCACCGGCUAACUCCGUGCCAGCAGCCGCGGUAAUACGGAGGGUGCAAACGUUGCUCGGAAUCAUUGGGCGUAAAGCGCACGUAGGCGGUCUCGCAAGUUGGGUGUGAAAGCCCUCGGCUUAACCGAGGAAGUGCAUUCAAAACUACGAGACUUGAAUACUGGAGAGGGUUGCGGAAUUCCCGGUGUAGAGGUGAAAUUCGUAGAUAUCGGGAGGAACACCAGUGGCGAAGGCGGCAACCUGGACAGAUAUUGACGCUGAGGUGCGAAAGCGUGGGGAGCAAACAGGAUUAGAAACCCGAGUAGUCC
rnacentral:rRNA from 1 species